rnacentral:rRNA from 1 species
AUUGAACGCUGGCGGCAUGCCUUACACAUGCAAGUCGAACGGUAACAGGUCUUCGGAUGCUGACGAGUGGCGAACGGGUGAGUAAUGCAUCGGAACGUGCCCAGUAGUGGGGGAUAGCCCGGCGAAAGCCGGAUUAAUACCGCAUACGACCUGAGGGUGAAAGGGGGGGAUCGCAAGACCUCUCGCUAUUGGAGCGGCCGAUGUCAGAUUAGCUAGUUGGUGGGGUAAAGGCCUACCAAGGCAACGAUCUGUAGUUGGUCUGAGAGGACGACCAGCCACACUGGGACUGAGACACGGCCCAGAGUCCUACGGGAGGCAGCAGUGGGGAAUUUUGGACAAUGGGCGCAAGCCUGAUCCAGCAAUGCCGCGUGCAGGAAGAAGGCCUUCGGGUUGUAAACUGCUUUUGUCAGGGAAGAAAUCUUCUGGGUUAAUACCCCGGGAGGAUGACGGUACCUGAAGAAUAAGCACCGGCUAACUACGUGCCAGCCGCCGCGGUAACAC